AUUGAACGCUGGCGGCAGGCCUAACACAUGCAAGUCGAACGGUAACAGGAAGAAGCUUGCUUCUUUGCUGACGAGUGGCGGACGGGUGAGUAAUGUCUGGGAAACUGCCUGAUGGAGGGGGAUGACUACUGGAAACGGUAGCUAAUACCGCAUAACGUCGCAAGACCAAAGAGGGGGACCUUCGGGCCUCUUGCCAUCGGAUGUGCCCAGAUGGGAUUAGCUUGUUGGUGGGGUAACGGCUCACCAAGGCGACGAUCCCUAGCUGGUCUGAGAGGAUGACCAGCCACACUGGAACUGAGACACGGUCCAGACUCCUACGGGAGGCAGCAGUGGGGAAUAUUGCACAAUGGGCGCAAGCCUGAUGCAGCCAUGCCGCGUGUAUGAAGAAGGCCUUCGGGUUGUAAAGUACUUUCAGCGGGGAGGAAGGGAGUAAAGUUAAUACCUUUGCUCAUUGACGUUACCCGCAGAAGAAGCACCGGCUAACUCCGUG
rnacentral:rRNA from 1 species